UGCAAAGACUCCACACACAUGAUGGUUAUAUGCUCUCUUCUCACAACAUUUACUCUUGAUCCCAUCAAACAGCCACCAGCGACGUGUGGAUCGGUCUGAAUGAUCUGGGCUUCUCGGGUUUGUUCUCGUGGUCGGAUCAUCAUGAGGUCACGUUCACAUACUGGGCUCCUGGAGAACCCAACAACCACUUGGGCUUCAGUGAGGACUGUGUGGAGAUGUUCCAUCAGACGGGCCGAUGGAACGAUGUCACCUGCACAGAGCUAAACACCUACAUCUGUAAGAUGCCCAAAGGUCACUAUCCUCUGCCCUCCGUGCAGCCCACCAUCUAUGGCUGUCCUCAGGUCUGUCAUGUGCUCUCGUGGAUGCCCAUCAGUGACCCUGACUCCCUCAUGCUAACCACAUGUGUGUGUCUGUUCUGCAGGGCUGGGAUGUUUUUGAGUACUCUUGCUAUUGGUUUGAAGAAGCUGCUAGAAGUCGUGAGGAAGCCAAAGCAUUCUGUGAGAGUCGGAGCAGCACUCUGCUGCAUAUCAUGGACUUGUGAGUGUCUAAACCUCUUGUGUUCCUGUUUAUAGUCAGAAAUUGCUUCUGUGCUCGUGUAGCUCCAGUCACUCAGCUGCUGUUUCCCUCUGCAGGUAUGAACAGGCUCACUUCACAGCUCUGAUGAGCCGGUACUCCGGCGACUGGUGGAUCGGGCUGCGGGCGAGAGGAGGGGUGGCGGGUGUUGACUAUUACUGGGACAACGACGCUUUAAUAACUUAUACCAACUGGGGCCGCAACGAGCCAAGUAAUUCAACUGUUUACACUGCAAAUCCUUCUGUCCUAGACAUUACACCUGAGUGCCGUUUAGAACUGCUGGACAAAUGACAUCAUCGUUCAUGAACCAAAUAGAUUUCACUGUAUCUCUAGAUAACCUCGCUGGAUCCUGUGUCACGAUGUCGACCAGCCCGCUGGCAGGAUUCUGGAAUAACAAACAGUGUGAAGAAUCAUUCCCAUUUGUGUGUGAAGCUCCUCGUAAUGGCAUCUCUCCACCGACACGAGCUCCGACACUGCCUCCGGUGACCGGGUGCGAGAGCGGCUGGGGCGGACAGCCUCACUUCAGAAACUGCUACAGGGUGAUCUAAGCUAUGCCUUCUUCUGACUACGCUUACAUGCACACCACAAAGUUCGUUUUUGUUAGGAAGUGGCAUUCACGUGUACCUGCACCUGCACAUACAUGCGUUGCCAUCAGUAAGCAGCUUUAGU
ensembl:lncRNA